rnacentral:rRNA from 1 species
AUUGAACGCUGGCGGCAGGCCUAACACAUGCAAGUCGAACGAGUGGCGGACGGGUGAGUAAUGUCUGGGAAACUGCCUGAUGGAGGGGGAUAACUACUGGAAACGGUAGCUAAUACCGCAUACCAUCAGAUGUGCCCAGCUGGGAUUGGCUUUUGGGUGGGGUACAGGCUCACCCAGGCGCCGAUCCCUAGCUGGUCGGAGAGGAGGACCAGCCACACUGGAACUUAGACACGGUCCAGACUCCUACGGGAGGCAGCAGUGGGGAAUAUUGCAGAAUGGGCGCAAGCCUGAUGCAGCCAUGCCGCGUGUAUGAAGAAGGCCUUCGGGUUGUAAAGUACUUUCAGCGGGGAGGCGUUACCCGCAGAAGAAGCACCGGCUAACUCCGUGCCAGCAGCCGCGGUAAUUC